rnacentral:rRNA from 1 species
UACGGAGGAUCCAAGCGUUAUCCGGAUUUACUGGGUUUAAAGGGUGCGUAGGCUGCAAUAUAAGUCAGUGGUGAAAUCCCGUAGCUUAACUACGGAACUGCCGUUGAUACUGUAUAGCUUGAGUUCAAAUGAAGUGGGCGGAAUGUGUCAUGUAGCGGUGAAAUGCUUAGAUAUGCCACAGAACACCGAUAGCGAAGGCAGCUCACUAAUCUGCGACUGACGCUGAAGCACGAAAGCGUGGGUAUCAAACAGGAUUAGAUACCCUGGUAGUCCACGCUGUAAACGAUGAUAACUCGAUGUUUGCAUUUAUGUAAGCGUCUAAGUGAAAACACUAAGUUAUCCACCUGGGGAGUACGAUCGCAAGAUUGAA